GCCCAUUCCUUUCCUGCUUUGUGUUUCCAGCAAUGCUCACUCCACUGUAAGAGAGAGUUGAGACACGGGGAGACGAAACAUAGCAGGUGAUACAGUGGGAAUUAAAGGCAGAAGGGGGUGCAAGAGAGAUGAAGAAGCUCACAGAAUGAAGGCAGCUACAUUCCACAUGUUUGAUUUUACCAGGGACAAAUGGAAUAGAGAAGUCGCUAAGAUGGAACAGGGGAACAUUUUGUAACUUCAUAUGUGGGUUUAGGUUCUAAAGAAUAUUUAUGACAAAGCAAAAAAGAACAGUCCUCUAAAGGUUUCUCCUGGACCCGAAAUAAAUCUCUUUCAUGUGGAGGCUGUGCGAGUAGAACAUGACCAGCGCCAACUUUAGCUUGAAUACAAUAAUCUAUGGUCAUUCACUAUGUACAGAAUGGACCAACAGCACAGAGGGUGCCAUCUACCAUCUGGGUAACACAAUUCUUUUUUUAGGGUAUAUGGGCGGUAGUGGAACUUAUGGAGCACUGUACAUCUUCAGUUUCCUGGCUCCUGCUUUCCUCUGUUUGGCGUUAUGGGGCUGGCUGUCAGUGUUUGGCCUCGAUGUCUUUGUCUGGAACAUCCUGCUGAUGCUGCAGUGCUUUGCGCAGGUGUGCCACCUGAUAUUUCGGCUGAUGCGGGAUGGUCUGGCUAACGAGGAGCUUUCUGCCCUCUACUCUGCAGUCUAUUUGCCACUUGAGGUACCUGUGCAGGUGUUCAAAGAAAUCACUGCUGUUUGUGAGAACAAGGUGUUCACUCUCAAGACUGAGGAGACUUACGCUAUAGAGGGAAAAACACCCAUUGACCAGCUUUCCUUUCUGCUCUCUGGAAGGAUUCGUGUGUCUUUAGAGGGUCAGUUUCUUCAUUACAUAUUCCCCCACCAAUUCCUGGAUUCUCCAGAAUGGGAAUCCCUCAGACCAACAGAGAAUGGCAAUUUCCAGGUGACACUAACAGCAGAGACGGAUUGCCACUACAUCUCCUGGCGCCGCCGUCGUCUUUAUCUUCUUCUGUCCAAAGACCGGUACAUUGCUCGACUCUUCUCUGUCAUGCUUGGCAAUGACAUUGCAGACAAACUGUACGCUCUUAAUGACAAACUCUUUGUCAAGAGUGGGGUACACCUCGACAUCCGUCUGCCCAGCCUCUACCACGUUCUUGCCCCAACACCACAAAGUAGUGAGGGGGGCAGUGGCAGUUCCGCACCCAGGGGAAGCCAAGGGAAUCAGAUAGCUGUGCCAAUAGACGCAGCACUUAGCAAGCAGCAUGUAGGUGCACCAAGCUCUCAGCAAGGACAGAAGAAGGACCCGCUUGUCAAAGGUCAACCUUCGCUUGUCAAAGGUCAACCUUCCCAGCGACACUCUUCCACGGAUCCUGAGAUGCCCUCGGGUGAGGACUCAACCAGCCUAGUCCUCGAGGACUUUGCUGAUAUGAUAGGCUCUCUAGUGGACUAUGGGAGUGAAAGGGAUUAUUUGAAGUAAAAAAAAUAGUGUGCUGAAGCUAACACACAGGGCCACUUCUUAAGUUACAUAUAGUGAUACUCCUGGAAGGUUUCGAUAUCAAAGAGGACGUGCUCCACUGGCUCCCACGGAUACCCCGAGGCUCUAAAAAUAAUCUAAUCCAUAAACAAAGCCAAGAGUGAAACCAGGGUCUCAGCAAGUUCACUGCAUGCUUCUCAUUUCCUUUGCUGUUGUAGGUUGUAUUUCUAUAGUACAGAGAUAUACUGUAAAUCUUAAAGAGGUUUUAGAAAGGAUUAUACAAUACUACUAUAGAAAUACAUUUUCCUUCCACUGGCCUUUAUCAACUUGUUAAUACCAUUUAUGUUUUUGCUUUAAUAUUGCUUUAAUGUCUCAGUAUUUUUGUGGAUCUGAAUAUAAGUAAAUGUUCCACUUCACUUUUUCCUUCAUUUCCUAGCAUAUGUGUUUUUGCCUUUUAUUUUUUAACACAAAGGAUAAAUAACAAGUACAGGGAAAACACUCAACCGGCAAAUACUACUUUAUGUAAGUCUUUAAUUCACUAUACAGAAUGAAUGUAUUUUCAUGGGGCCAAUUUUAUCCAUAAUAAAACCUCAGUGAAAAAUCAGUUCAUAGCUGAUAUUAAUCCCAGUCUGCAAUGUGCCUUCAGUAGAAUAAGCUUUAAACUACAUUUUAAUUACCAAAUGUUAAACAUAAAUAUGCCUGAUCAUUGUUAUUAACAAAUAAUCUAUACAUUAAAUAUAAACAAAUCGUCAAGCAACUGUAUAUCAGAACUUAUAUAUGUUAGCUAAUAAAGCACUUGAGAUUUCAACAUGAUCAAUUUAACAGAAAUGCAUAACAUUUUUGCAUUAUUUUGUAUUAAGAGGAACAAUAUCAUCAAACAGAACUCCAGUAAUUAAACAGUGCUAAAAAGUAUAACUGUAUAAUUGCUCUGUAAUAUCUGACUGAACAUCUUGAAUACUGAAUAAUACAUUAUUAUUAUACAUUAUUAAUAUUAUAUAUUAUUAUACUAAUAAUAAUACAUAAAUGGUAUUUUUUACACUAUCCAUGAUUUAUAUUUGCUUAUUAAUGAAACACUAUUAAAUGAUGAUAUCUUUACAUA